AUUGAACGCUGGCGGAAUGCUUUACACAUGCAAGUCGAACGGUAGAGGGGGCAACCCCUCGAGAGUGGCGAACGGGUGAGUAAUAUAUCGGAACGUGCCCAGUCGUGGGGGAUAACGUAGCGAAAGUUACGCUAAUACCGCAUACGAUCUAAGGAUGAAAGCGGGGGAUCGCAAGACCUCGCGCGAUUGGAGCGGCCGAUAUCAGAUUAGGUAGUUGGUGGGGUAAAGGCUCACCAAGCCAACGAUCUGUAGCUGGUCUGAGAGGACGACCAGCCACACUGGAACUGAGACACGGUCCAGACGCCUACGGGAGGCAGCAGUGGGGAAUUUUGGACAAUGGACGCAAGUCUGAUCCAGCCAUUCCGCGUGCAGGAUGAAGGCCCUCGGGUUGUAAACUGCUUUUGUACGGAACGAAAAGGUCUCUCUUAAUACGAGGGGCUCAUGACGGUACCGUAAGAAUAAGCACCGGCUAACUACGUGCCAGCAGCCGCCGUAA
rnacentral:rRNA from 1 species